rnacentral:rRNA from 1 species
AUUGAACGCUGGCGGCAGGCCUAACACAUGCGAGUCGAGCGGAUGAAGGGAGCUUGCUCCUGGAUUCAGCGGCGGACGGGUGAGUAAUGCCUAGGAAUCUGCCUGGUAGUGGGGGUAACGUUCUGAAACGGGCUCUAAUUCCGCAUACGUCCCAGGGGAGAAUGUUGGGGAUCUUUGGGCCUCAUGCUCUCGGGUGUGCCUAGGUCGGAUUAGCUGGUUGGGGGGGUGAAGGCCUACCAAGGCGAGGAUUCGUAACUGGUCGGAGAGGAUGGUCAGUCACACUGGAGCUGAGACACGGUCCAGACUCCUACGGGAGGCAGCAGUCGGGAACAUUGGACAAUAGGCGAGAGCCUUGUCCAGCCAUGCCGCGUGUGUUAAGAAGGUCUUCCGAUUGUAAAGCACUUUAAGUUGGGAGGAACGGCAGUAAGUUAAUACCUUGCUGUUUUGACGUUACCAACACAAUAAGCACCGGCUAACUACGUG